rnacentral:rRNA from 1 species
AUUGAACGCUGGCGGCAUGCCUUACACAUGCAAGUCGAACGGCAGCACGGGAGCAAUCCUGGUGGCGAGUGGCGAACGGGUGAGUAAAGCAUCGGAACGUGCCCAGUCGUGGGGGAUAACGUAGCGAAAGCUACGCUAAUACCGCAUACGAUCUGUGGAUGAAAGCGGGGGACCGUAAGGCCUCGCGCGAUUGGAGCGGCCGAUGUCAGAUUAGGUAGUUGGUGAGGUAAAGGCUCACCAAGCCGACGAUCUGUAGCUGGUCUGAGAGGACGACCAGCCACACGGGGACUGAGACACGGCCCAGACUCCUACGGGAGGAAGCAGUGGGGAAUUUUGGACAAUGGGCGCAAGCCUGAUCCAGCAAUGCCGCGUGCAGGAUGAAGGCCUUCGGGUUGUAAACUGCUUUUGUACGGAACGAAAAGGCUCUGGUUAAUACCUGGGGCUCAUGACGGUACCGUAAGAAUAAGCACCGGCUAACUACGUGCCAGCAGCCGCCGUAA